UAGGAAUAAGCAUCGGCUAACUCCGUGCCAGCAGCCGCGGUAAUACGGAGGAUGCGAGCGUUAUCCGGAUUUAUUAGGUUUAAAGGGUGCGUAGGCUGGGCAAUAAGUCAGUGGUGAAAGUCCGCGGCUCAACCGUGGGAUUGCCAUUGAAACUGUUGUUCUUGAGUACAGUCGAGGUAGGCGGAAUGUGUAAUGUAGCGGUGAAAUGCAUAGAUAUUACCCAGAACACCGAUUGCGUAGGCAGCUUACCAGCCUGGAACUGACGCUGAUGCACGAAAGCGCGGGGAGCGAACAGGAUUAGAUACCCUGGUAGUCCACGCCGUAAACGAUGAUCACUCGCUGUUGGCAAUAUAGAGUCAGCGGCUGAGCGAAAGCAUUAAGUGAUCCACCUGGGGAGUACGUCGGCAACGAUGAAACUCAAAGGAAUUGACGGGGGCCCGCACAAGCGGUGGAACAUGUGGUUUAAUUCGAUGAUACGCGAGGAACCUUACCUGGGCUUAAAUGUAGCCGGACGAUUCCGGAAACGGGAUUUCCUUAACGGCUGGUUACAAGGUGCUGCAUGGCUGUCGUCAGCUCGUGCCGUGAGGUGUCGGGUUAAGUCCCAUAACGAGCGCAACCCUUAUUCUUAGUUGCCAGCGGGUAGAGCCGGGGACUCUAAGGAGACUGCCACCGUAAGGUGUGAGGAAGGUGGGGAUGACGUCAAGUCAGCACGGCCCUUACGUCCAGGGCUACACACGUGUUACAAUGGCCGGUACAGAAGGCAGCAAACUUGAGAGAGGGCGCGAAUCCAUGAAAGCCGGUCUCAGUUCGGAUUGGAGUCUGCAGCCCGACUUCAUGAAGUGGAAUCGCUAGU
rnacentral:rRNA from 1 species